rnacentral:antisense_RNA from 1 species
AGAGAGGCUUCCACGAUGGCGACGUUUUGGGAGCUUUUUUCUUUUGU